GACGUAGGGCGCGAGCGUUGUCCGGAUUUAUUGGGCGUAAAGAGCUCGUAGGCGGUCUGUCGCGUCGGCUGUGAAAACUUGGGGCUCAACCCCAAGCCUGCAGUCGAUACGGGCAGACUAGAGGUGCGGUAGGGGAGACUGGAAUUCCUGGUGUAGCGGUGAAAUGCGCAGAUAUCAGGAGGAACACCGGUGGCGAAGGCGGGUCUCUGGGCCGUAACUGACGCU
rnacentral:rRNA from 1 species